rnacentral:rRNA from 1 species
UACGGAGGAUGCGAGCGUUAUCCGGAUUUAUUGGGUUUAAAGGGUGCGUAGGCGGAUUCUUAAGUCAGCGGUGAAAGUUUGCGGCUCAACCGUGAAAUUGCCGUUAAAACUGGUAGCCUUGAGUGUAGAUGAAGUAGGCGGAAUUCGUGGUGUAGCGGUGAAAUGCAUAGAUAUCACGAGGAACUCCAAUUGCGAAGGCAGCUUACUAAACUACAACUGACGCUGAAGCACGAAAGCGUGGGUAUCAAACAGG